rnacentral:rRNA from 1 species
UACGUAGGGUGCGAGCGUUAAUCGGAAUUACUGGGCGUAAAGCGUGCGCAGGCGGUUAUGCAAGACAGAUGUGAAAUCCCCGGGCUCAACCUGGGAAUUGCAUUCGAUACUGGAUAGCUAGAGUUCGGCAGAGGGAAGUGGAAUUUCGGGUGUAGCGGUGAAAUGCGUAGAUAUCCGAAGGAACAUCAGUGGCGAAAGCGACUUCCUGGACCAGAACUGACGAUCAGGCACAAAAGCGUGGGGAGCAAACAGG